UACGUAGGGUGCAAGCGUUAAUCGGAAUUACUGGGCGUAAAGCGUGCGCAGGCGGUUGUGCAAGACAGUUGUGAAAUCCCCGGGCUUAACCUGGGAAUUGCAUCUGUGACUGCACGGCUAGAGUGUGUCAGAGGGGGGUAGAAUUCCACGUGUAGCAGUGAAAUGCGUAGAUAUGUGGAGGAAUACCGAUGGCGAAGGCAGCCCCCUGGGAUAACACUGACGCUCAUGCACGGAAGCGUGGGGAGCAAACAGG
rnacentral:rRNA from 1 species